rnacentral:lncRNA from 1 species
AGCCUAGUCCCUAAAUCAAGAUGAGUUUGACCCUGCAGGUCAUGGUCCAGCACAAUUGCUCUGUAAAAUAAUGGAAAAGUUUAAAAUUUUGCUGGGAGGAGGGGAUUUGGCAGAGAAAAAGAGGGAGCAGCAGGGGGAGACACCGUAUGGGUGGAGGGGGCCAGAUUUGAGAACCUUUAGAGGCUGACUAGCCUAAGAGGGAUUCGGGGAAAAGAAGAACUACCAAACAUUUUCAAGUUGUUUGCCCUGGGUCCACGGAUGUGCCACGCCCUUGUGCCCUCUUUCUCAUGCUUUCUGUUGGUUGAUACAGGCUACUCUGUUCUCUCAUGCUUUUUGGUGAUAGUGGAUUCUUUUGAGGAGAUAACGGGAGGUGGGGCUGCCGCUGAGUGUAUUUCUGGUUUCAUACAGGUAAAAACACACUGUGUAUGAGGGGAAGUUUUAGUUGAAGGCCGAGUAGAUCUUGGGGAUGUAAAUCCCUGGGCACAGGACCGACUUUCAAAGAAGACGUGGGGGUCCAAAAGGAGAUCACCUAGCAAUAAAAGGCUCUUAGGUAAUAGCUGGGUAACAGAAUAAAUAGAAAAUUUCACCAAGGUGAAAUAUAUGCUAUGGUGAAUAUGUGGAGUUGGAAGGUAAGUUGGAAGGAUCUAAAGGGCCUCAGAGGGGUGGACUGAUUUGCUGGCCUGGAUGGUGGGGGAAGGGUUGUGGGUUCAUCACUUCUGUGUUUUCCCCUCCCCGACCAUCAAGAACCUUUGGUGUCUAUGCUAAAGCUCUGUGAUGCGGGCCUGGAACUCUAGUCUAGAAUGUGCACUCUUAACGCCCAGCUGCCUGAGGUGGCAGUGCACUUCUGGUGAUGCAGAUCACCCUCUUUGUCUGAGGAAUGUUAAUGCACCACGGCUGAGCUCCAGCUUGAGUUCCUAGGUAUUCCCAUCCCUGCCUUCCUGUGUGGGGUGGGGCUCCUUCUUCUGUCACUCUGCUACCUAAAGAGGAGUCCAUGUUUCCCAAUAUUUCGGAAAGAGAGAGACAUCAAUCAGUGUCAGGGCAGAGCCAAGAGGAGAAGAAAAGGUGGAACACCAAGUGGUAAGGUUCUACCUAUCCCACCUGAGCUCUCCAAGGGUGACCCUUCCUCUCCUUUCCAUGAGGUCCCAGGUCCAUGGUCUCUGAGGAUGUCAGUCACUAGAUACAGUCCCUCUCAGAAAACAGAGCCCUCAGAGGAGAGGCUCAUCAGAAAGCAGUCAGAACCUGAAACAUUUCUCAGAUUCCUGCUCUGCCCACAUCUGGGCAUGAAGCAGUGAUGGACCUGGGCAAUGGGCGUUUCCCAAUAAGUGGCCAUAUGAGAUGUCAAGAGUCAGAACUUCUGUCUCCUGACCUUGUGAAAGUACUUUGACUUCCUGGAUGGUCAGAUUCUUCCUUGAAGUAACCAGUGACCUAUGUUCCUCACAUGGUGUUUUUGAGCCUCACAUGGGAUGACAUACAUAUA